CGGCCUCCCAAAGUGCUGGAAUUACAGGCAUGAGCCACCGCGCCCGGCCUUGAACACAUCUUUAUCUGAAAUCUUUCAUCUUAAAACAUCAAUAAAGCAGCAAGCUGCCCCAGGGAUGACUGGUGGAGAAACUGAAACAUAGGGCCCAAUUUGCUCCUCCUGGGCCGUGAGGCAGGCCAGCCACCCCCGAAGCACAGCGGGGCAGCGCUGCAGUCAUGUCUGCCAUGAUCUUGACCCACAGCUGCACCGCCUCCAGUCCCAGCCCCACAAGGCCUGUCCUGGGUGGACACGCCGAGUGUGAGAGGUUCCAGUUAGUUCCUCUGCCCAGUCCCAGCCAGGACAGGCUCUGCCUCUGGCCAGUUUGAAAGAGCAGGCUCGGCUGGGUGCGGUGGCUCACGCCUGU
rnacentral:lncRNA from 10 species